GAUGAACGCUGGCGGCGUGCCUAAUACAUGCAAGUCGAGCGAACAGACGAGGAGCUUGCUCCUCUGACGUUAGCGGCGGACGGGUGAGUAACACGUGGAUAACCUACCUAUAAGACUGGGAUAACUUCGGGAAACCGGAGCUAAUACCGGAUAAUAUAUUGAACCGCAUGGUUCAAUAGUGAAAGACGGUUUUGCUGUCACUUAUAGAUGGAUCCGCGCCGCAUUAGCUAGUUGGUAAGGUAACGGCUUACCAAGGCGACGAUGCGUAGCCGACCUGAGAGGGUGAUAGGCCACACUGGAACUGAGACACGGUCCAGACUCCUACGGGAGGCAGCAGUAGGGAAUCUUCCGCAAAGGGCGAAAGCUUGACGGAGCAACGCCGCGUGAGUGAUGAAGGUCUUCGGAUCGUAAAACUCUGUUAUUAGGGAAGAACAAAUGUGUAAGUAACUAUGCACGUCUUGACGGUACCUAAUCAGAAAGCCACGGCUAACUACGUG
rnacentral:rRNA from 1 species